rnacentral:rRNA from 1 species
GUGCAGCAGGCGAGAAUUUUUCUCAAUGGGGGAAACCCUGAAGGAGCGACGCCGCGUGGAGGAUGAAGGCUUUCGGGUUGUAAACUCCUGUCAUUUGAGAACAAGUGUAGCCAAGUAACUACUGGCUACUUGAUAGUAUCAGAAGAGGAAGGGACGGCUAACUCUGUGCCAGCAGCCGCGGUAAUACAGAGGUCCCAAGCGUUGUUCGGAUUCAUUGGGCGUAAAGGGUGCGUAGGUGGCGCCGUAAGUGGGGUGUGAAAUUUCGGAGCUUAACUCCGAAACUGCAUUCCAUACUGCGGUGCUUGAGGACUGGAGAGGAGACUGGAAUUCAUGGUGUAGCAGUGAAAUGCGUAGAGAUCAUGAGGAAGACCAGUGGCGAAGGCGGGUCUCUGGACAGUUCCUGACACUGAGGCACGAAGGCUAGGGGAGCGAACGGGAUUAGAUACCCCCGUAGU